rnacentral:rRNA from 1 species
AGUGAACGCUGGCGGUAGGCCUAACACAUGCAAGUCGAACGGCAGCACAGUAAGAGCUUGCUCUUACGGGUGGCGAGUGGCGGGCGGGUGAGGAAUACAUCGGAAUCUACUUUUUCGUGGGGGAUAACGUAGGGAAACUUACGCUAAUACCGCAUACGACCUACGGGUGAAAGCAGGGGAUCUUCGGACCUUGCGCGAUUGAAUGGGCCGAUGUCGGAUUAGCUAGUUGGCGGGGUAAAGGCCCACCAAGGCGACGAUCCGUAGCUGGUCUGAGAGGAUGAUCAGCCACACUGGAACUGAGACACGGUCCAGACUCCUACGGGAGGCAGCAGUGGGGAAUAUUGGACAAUGGGCGCAAGCCUGAUCCAGCCAUACCGCGUGGGUGAAGAAGGCCUUCGGGUUGUAAAGCCCUUUUGUUGGGAAAGAAAAGCAGCAGGUUAAUACCCCGCUGUUCUGACGGUACCCAAAGAAUAAGCACCGGCUAACUUCGUG